rnacentral:rRNA from 1 species
CGCGACCCCAGGUCAGGCGGGGCUACCCGCUGAGUUUAAGCAUAUCAAUAAGCGGAGGAAAAGAAACUAACGAGGAUUCCCCUAGUAACGGCGAGCGAACCGGGAAAUUCUAA